GACGAACGCUGGCGGCGUGCCUAAUACAUGCAAGUCGAACGCAGUGGGGACGGGUGAGUAACACGUGGGUAACCUCCCAUCAGAGGGGAGAACACGUGGAAACAGGUGCUAAACUGAUACUGAUGGAUGGACUCGCUGUGGAUUAGCUUGUUGGUGAGGUAACGGCUCACCAAGGCGACGAUGCAUAGCCGAUCUGAGAGGGGGAUCGGCCACACUGGGACUGAGACACGGCCCAGACUCCUACGGGAGGCAGCAGUGGGGAAUCUUGGGCAAUGGACGAAAGUCUGACCGAGCAAUGCCGCGUGAGUGAAGAAGGCCUUAGGGUUGUAAAGUACUUUCAGCGGGGAGGCGUUACCCGCAGAAGAAGCACCGGCUAACUCCGUGCCAGCAGCCGCGGUAAUAC
rnacentral:rRNA from 1 species